rnacentral:lncRNA from 10 species
CACAUCUAGAGCAAAAUCAAAUUUUAAAAAAAUAGUCCAGGCAUGGUGGCUCAUGCCUGUAAUCCCAGCACUUUGGGAGGCCAAGACAGGUGGAUCACUUGAGGUCAGGAAUUCGAGACCAGCCUGGCCAACAUGGUGAAACCCCGUCUGUACUAAAAGUACAGAAAUUAGCUAGGCGUGGUGGCACACACCUGUAAUCCCAGCUAGUGGGGUGGCUGAGACACGAGAAUAGCUGGAACCCAUGGGGCAGAGUUUGCAGUGAGCUGAGAUCACGCCACUGCACUCCAGCCUAGGCAACAGAGCGAGAUGCCAUCUCAAAAAAAAAAAAAUUAAAAUUUACAAACCCAGGAGAUAUAAUGCCUCUGUCCUAGGUUAGAACACCAACUAGAAGAUUAAACUGCUAGUGAGAAUACACAGAUAAUUGAACUCAGUGAGUAAAUUUUGGACUUUAGAUCCCUUUAUCCUAUUGAUAAUGCUCUUUACAAAGCAGUCUUCAGCCAUGCUCUGAAAUCAAUUCUGCUAUAUAGACAAUACAAGUCCAAGAGAGAACUGGAAGGAACAGAACUGACCUAAUGGUGCCAAAUUUCCCUUGGGAACCAUACCUGUAAGGAAAAAAAAAAAAGUAGUACCUAAAACAAUUUGUAAAACUAUAUAACUAACCAAUA